rnacentral:misc_RNA from 1 species
GAGUGAGGGUCUCCGGGCCCGACCUCCAACCCCAUGUUAACCGACCCUGUUGCCUCGGGGGCGACCCGGCCUUCGGGCCAGGGCCCCCGAUGGACCUCAUAACACUGCAUCUUUGCAUCCGAGUCAAUAUUUGAAUAAAUCAAAACUUUCAACAACGGAUCUCUUGGUUCU